CCUACGGGAGACAGCAGUGGGGAAUAUUGGGCAAUGGGCGCAAGCCUGACCCAGCAACGCCGCGUGAAGGAAGAAGGCUUUCGGGUUGUAAACUUCUUUUCUGAGGGACGAAGAAAGUGACGGUACAGCAGGAAUAAGACACGGCUAACUACGUGCCAGCAGCCGCUGUAAUACGUAGGUGGCAAGCGUUAUCAGGAUUUGUUGGGUGUAAAGGGCGUGUAGGCGGGAAAGCAAGUCAGAUGUGAAAAGUCAGGGCUCAACCCUGAUCCUGCAUUUGAAACUGUUUUUCUUGAGUGCUGGGGAGGCAAUCGGAAUUCCGUGUGUAGCGGUGAAAUGCGUAGAUAUACGGAGGAACACCAGUGGCGAAGGCAGAUUGCUGGACAGUAACUGACGCUGAGGCACGAAAGCGUGGGGAGCAAACAGGAUUAGAUACCCCAGUAGUC
rnacentral:rRNA from 1 species